UACGUAGGUGGCAGGCGCUGUCCGGAUUUACUGGGCGUAAAGGGCGUGCAGGCGGUUUGUUAAGUGCAGGGUGAAAGCUCCCGGCUCAACUGGGAGAGGUCCUUGCAUACUGGCGAACUCGAGGGAGGCAGAGGAAAGUGGAAUUCCCGGUGUAGUGGUGAUAUGCGUAGAUAUCGGGAGGAACACCCGUGGCGAAGGCGGUUCUCUGGGACGGUACUGACGCUGAGACGCGAAAGCGUGGGGAGCGAACAGG
rnacentral:rRNA from 1 species